rnacentral:rRNA from 1 species
AUUGAACGCUGGCGGCAUGCUUUACACAUGCAAGUCGAACGGUAACAGGCCGCAAGGUGCUGACGAGUGGCGAACGGGUGAGUAAUGCAUCGGAACAUACCCAGUCGUGGGGGAUAACGCAGCGAAAGCUGUGCUAAUACCGCAUACGAUCUAAGGAUGAAAGCGGGGGACCUUCGGGCCUCGCGCGAUUGGAGUGGCCGAUGUCAGAUUAGGUAGUUGGUGGGGUAAAGGCCCACCAAGCCGACGAGCUGUAGCUGGUCUGAGAGGACGACCAGCCCCACUGGGACUGAGACACGGCCCAGACUCCUACGGGAGGCAGCAGUGGGGAAUUUUGGACAAUGGGCGCAAGCCUGAUCCAGCAAUGCCGCGUGCAGGAUGAAGGCCUUCGGGUUGUAAACUGCUUUUGUACGGAACGAAACGGUCUGGGUUAAUACCCUGGGCUAAUGACGGUACCGUAAGAAUAAGCACCGGCUAACUACGUGCCAGCAGCCGCAGUAA